GGCGCACGGGUGCGUAACACGUAUGCAACCUACCUUUCACUGGGGCAUAGCUCAGAGAAAUCUGAAUUAAUACCCCAUAGUAUUAUACUUUGGCAUCUUAGUAUAAUUAAAGCUCCGGCGGUGAUAGAUGGGCAUGCGUUGCAUUAGCUAGUUGGUGAGGUAAUGGCUCACCAAGGCUACGAUGCAUAGGGGUUCUGAGAGGAUGAUCCCCCACACUGGUACUGAGACACGGACCAGACUCC
rnacentral:rRNA from 1 species